UGGGGAAUAUUGCACAAUGGGCGCAAGCCUGAUGCAGCGACGCCGCGUGGGGGAUGACGGCCUUCGGGUUGUAAACUCCUUUCGCUAGGGACGAAGCGCAAGUGACGGUACCUGGAGAAGAAGCACCGGCUAACUACGUGCCAGCAGCCGCGGUAAUACGUAGGGUGCGAGCGUUGUCCGGAAUUACUGGGCGUAAAGAGCUCGUAGGUGGUUUGUCGCGUCGUUUGUGUAAGCCCGCAGCUUAACUGCGGGACUGCAGGCGAUACGGGCAUAACUUGAGUGCUGUAGGGGAGACUGGAAUUCCUGGUGUAGCGGUGGAAUGCGCAGAUAUCAGGAGGAACACCGAUGGCGAAGGCAGGUCUCUGGGCAGUAACUGACGCUGAGGAGCGAAAGCAUGGGUAGCGAACA
rnacentral:rRNA from 1 species